AAUUAUAAAUGAUACAAAAUCACCUCGUCUCACACCAGUGAUUAAACAUAAUACAAAACCCAACACUAAAACUAAGUGGACUAUAGCAGCAACUCAGCUAUCUGAAUAGCAUUAAGAGCAGCCCCCUUGCGUAUUUGAUCUCCACAGACAAAGAUAUCCAACCCAUGAUUCCCUUCUUGAGACACAUCUCUGCGGAUUCUACCAACUGCAACAUCAUCUUUGUUUGACACCUCCAAUGGAUUUGAUGCACGGUCAUCAAUAACCACCACCCCAGAGGCUUUCUUCAGAAUAUCCUUUGCUGUGUCCUCAUCAAGGGGCUUCUCAAAUUGAAGAUU
rnacentral:misc_RNA from 1 species